rnacentral:lncRNA from 10 species
AUUUGAACCAGUGAUUUGUGACUUUCCAGUAUUUAGGGCACAACCCCGAGCUGGUUGCACUAACACACAGGCUGGGGGAAAUGAGUACACUGGCCAGUGUUGGGAUCAGGGAGGAGAGAUUCUGUGUGUUCUGGGGUGCCGAUGAGCAGAAGCUGGCUGCUCUGGGCACCAGCUUAAGUCAGCUGAGUAGAAAAUAACAGGUUUCAACACAAACAUCUGUACAGACCUCACUCUGGAGAAAUUACUUUGCGUGGAACCCAGGAAAUUAGUUGGAAGAAUUUGUUCACUGUCUCUUUCAAGUUUUAACAGCUUUACUUAAGAACUCAACUAGCAGAUGAUUUCUUUCCAUUGCUUUCUAAAUCAAUCACAAAUGUCUCUUUGAGAAAAGACCAAUGAAAAUUAAGUAGUAGUAAGAAGAGACACACCAGUGAUUGCAAAGUGGAGAGGCUGGCUUCCCUCUGUUAUGGACUGGAUUCUGUACCCCCAAAUUCAUAGGUAAACCCUAACUCUCAAUGUGAUGGUAUUUGGAGAUAGGGCCUUGAAGGAGAUAAUUGAGGUGAAAGGAAAUCAUAAAGGUGGAGCCCUGAGCCAAUAUGACUAGUGUGCUCAUGAGAAGAGGAAGAGACACCAGGGAUGCGCACACCCAGAGAAAAGGCCAUGGGAGGACACAGCAAAAAGGUGGCCAUCUGCAAGCCAAGGAGAGAGGCCUCAGGAGAAAUCAAACCUGCCGACCCCUUGAUCUUGGACUUCCAGCCACCAGAACUGUGAGAAAAUAAAUGUCUGUAGUUUAAAACCACACGAUCUGUGCUAUUUUGUUAUGACAGCCCUAGCAGACUAAUAUAGCCUCCAAGUUAAGAGCCAAACUUCCUGUGAGUGCCCUGUCAUUGACCAAGUGGCUUCUAGAACCACUUCAGCCCAUGACUCCUCCACCAGACAUUGUCAGUGCGAAGAGAGUUUUAGGGCCACAGCCAUGAAGAGCUUGAAUGAAACCAGCAGAGCGUUGCAGGGCAGCCUCUGUUUGACCUUCCACUCGGGAAGGAUUAAUGGCCAGCCCUUUGUGUUAGGAGAGGAUGCUCUGGCCACAUGCAGCCAGACAUGGGGGAGUGUUGUUUCCCAGUUCCAGUGAUAGGUUGGCCUACGCUGGUCUCAUGCUCACACUUGGUUCUCCUAGGUCACAAGUUAGCAGGAAGUAAGCAGGGGGUCAGGGUAGGGCUAUUAUUGUUGGCUGAAGCAUAGACUAGAGCAAUUGAUCUGUACAGUAUUGGACCCACAUCUAACUCUGGGGCCCCAGUUGUCUUGGCUUUUUCCAGCUUUGAUUUCACUGCCUCUCUGAGAGUCAGUUUUUCCUACUAAUGGAAUGUUUUCAAAGUGAGCUCAAGCCCAUGCUCAGUGGGAAAUUCUUCCCUGAAAUCAUUUGUCACAGAAUCAUUUGGCCAUCUAAGACGUUUAUUAUCCUACUUACUGGCAGUAAGUUUCAUAGAAGAGCACAAGAUACUCUGUAGAUUUUUGUUCCCCUUAAAAAGCUGAUAUUCUAGAAUCUGUCCAACAU